rnacentral:rRNA from 1 species
GAUGAACGCUGGCGGCGUGCCUAAUACAUGCAAGUCGAGCGAACGGACGAGAAGCUUGCUUCUCUGAUGUUAGCGGCGGACGGGUGAGUAACACGUGGAUAACCUACCUAUAAGACUGGGAUAACUUCGGGAAACCGGAGCUAAUACCGGAUAAUAUUUUGAACCGCAUGGUUCAAAAGUGAAAGACGGUCUUGCUGUCACUUAUAGAUGGAUCCGCGCUAUAUUAGCUAGUUGGUAAGGUAACGGCUUACCAAGGCAACGAUGCAGAGCACACCUGAGAGGGAUCGGCGCCACUGUGAAUGAGAGACGGGGUCGAACUCCUACGGAAGGCAGCAGUAGGAAAUCUUCCGCAAUGGGCGAAGGCCUGACGGGGCAACGCCGCGUGAGUGAUGAAGGUCUUGGGAUCGUAAAACUCUGUUAUAAGGGAGAAACAUAGGUGUAAGGAACUGUGCACAUCUUGACGGUACCUAAUCAGAAAGCCACGGCUAACUACGUG